UCCCGGGAUGGGGUCGGGAGGGGCAUAAAGAGGGGCUGGAUUUCCCAGAGGCCUCAGAGCCGCUCCUGGUGUGGGGGACGUUGGGGAGAUUUGGCCUCCUGCCCGGCUGGCUUCCAGAUAAAAUCACCCCCCUGGCAUUCCAGCUGCUCCUCAGACAUCAGAGGGACUGGGAUAGCUGGGUUUAGCUUCUGAGCAUGGCCAAUUCAGCAGCAGACAUGCAGAGCUGCUGUGGCACUGGAAAGAGAUGACCUUUGCAGUUCCUCCCAGCCCAGCCCACCCUGUGCUUCUGUGCUGGUGGAGAAAUGAACUUGGAACAUGGAGAGAACAUGGAGAGAGCACAUACCAGCUGCAGCUGUGCAGUUGCUCAGCUUCAUAUCCAGGAUACAGGAGAUUUUCUCUCCAGCCUGCAGAGCAAGAUGCACGCCCAGUGUCUGAGAGAAUUGGAGUCACAGAAUAUCCUGGGUUGGAAGGAACCCACAAGGAUCAUCGAGCUGAACUCCUGUCCCUGCACAGGACACCCCAAUAAUUCCAGCAUGUGUCUGAAAACAUUGCCCAAAAGCUUCUGGAGCUCUGGCAGGCUUGGGACCACUACCUGCCCUGGGGAGCCUGACCACCAUCUGGGUGAGAAACCUUUUCCUAAUGUCCAGCAUAAACUUCACUGAUACUGCU